AUACAAAUGGAGUGCCUGAUAGAAGGGACUGCUGUGAGGAAGAUCUCCAUGAGAAACGCUGCUUCUGCUAAAACAGUCAGCAGAGCCACUGUAUUACAUCAUUGUUCCUUUGAAAGAUUCAGGACACACAGAACCAGUAUAUCUUCGUUAGAACAGAAGCUCAUUCAAUGAAAUUGUUUGGCUUUCAAUCAAGAGUGGCUUUAAAGCAGGACGGGAUGGCCCAGCUGGAGCUGCUUAACAUGACAAGGCUGAAGAUCAGGAAACAUGCAUUUGGACCGAGCGUCUCCUCCACAAUCUGAUGGCAUGCACCUCAGUGGUCUCAUGCGAGUGGCCAUUCCCUCGACAACAAAGGUAACCUAAGUAGAAAGUUUGGUGGAAAACAACCGGAUACAAACCAGAUGGUGGCAGAUGGAAGAGAGAAGAGGGAAACAGACUAUGGACUCCUGAGGGCAGAGUCACCAAGACAGGGAAGUCAGAAUCAGAAGAGGGCAGGAUUGAGAGUCGGCAGAAUGCUGUUUUUGGAAAUCUGUGUUAGAGACAUAUUUCUUUCUCUGCCAGCUUCCUUUGCUCUAGCUGUCACAAGUGCCAGGUGCAGCCUGCUUUCUAAAACUGUGGAGAUUUAAAAGAAAGACCUGGUGGCAUCUUCCAGGACUGAACACUAGCUGCUCUGAAGGCAGCUGUCCCUCCGUCCCUCUCAGUAUUGCCCAUCAGGCAUGUCAGAGAGCUCCUGCAGGAAGAUAUUCCAUUCCUUGGUUGCUCUCAGCCAAACUCACUUUUUGGCUUGUAGGUGUGUGCUUUUCUCUGUGGAGCUGAGUCAUGGCCAUCCUGGAGCUGCAGCCCCCAGAACAACUGGUAGGGUGAUUGCAUCUAACACAGUUCUCACCUGAGUGUAGCCACCGGUCAGGAUGCCCAUGAAUCUGCAUGUGGCUCUUCCAUCACUUAGGGUACCCAGAAAGAUCCCUCUUAAAAUGCUCCACACAGAACUUAUAGCAUGAUGCCACGAAAUCU
rnacentral:lncRNA from 1 species